rnacentral:lncRNA from 1 species
GGAACGAGGAGGGAAGUAAAAUGUGAGAAUCCAGUCUGAAGAUGGGGUAGAGAGGGAGGUGCUUCCCCUGAGAGCCCCCGUGCUAGACUGAGUGAAAAAGGAAAGCCGCUGAUGGCAUUUAAGUAGCUGGGUCACUCAAUUACAUUUAAUUUGUAGCUUGAUUGCUCUGAUGUCUCCAUGCAGGGUGGAUUUGAAGAAGCCUUGAACAGAGAGAAUGGCUGUUACAGAGGAUCAGCUGAGAGGUCUGCCACUUCCUAGCAGUGUAAAUUUGGGCAAACUCUGGGCAACAUUCCUAUUGGAAGAAAAAUCAGGAUGAUCAUACCAACUUCCAAGGGUCGUUAGGAGGAUUAAUGAGAUAAAAGAGCUGGUGGUAUAUACUUGGCACUCAAAACUGUUUAACCUUCCCUGAAGGCUCUUCUGUAACCUCUCAUCCCUUUUUUACUAAUUGCCUGCUUUUCCCCUGUGUGAUAGGGGCUUACUGCAGGGACACAUACAUUUGUGGGCAGGCAUUGGAACAGCACUGGGAUGUCGCUCCACCUGUCUUCACUCACUGACAAGAAAAGUGGUGGGCAUACCUUUGAAAGUAGGAUCACAUCUUCAGACUGGAAGCUCCUGGGGAAAUGACGCUACCAUUGCCCCCUAAAACACAAGGCAGAAGUGGAGUUCAACAUACAGGUGGCUUUGGACAAGGUUGCUGCUGAUCAUGGUUCCUAAAUAAGCCUUUGGGUUCAUUUCCUGAUCUGUAAUCAAGGAACAAAGGGAUUGUGCUCUAAUAUUUUUUAUUAUAAAAUUCAGUGACUCUAUGUGUCAUGUGAUUAUCUACCUUAUCUAUUAUCUACCUAUCUAUCUGUCAUCUGUCAUCUAUCUACCUAUCUCUCUUUCCUAUCUAUCCACCCAUCUAUCUAAUCUAUCUCCUUACAUACACAUUUAUCCCUCGUAAUGUUAACAGAUACCAAGAGAAACAGUGUUCGUAUUUUGAAUACUCUGAGGAUGCUGCAAAACAGAGUUUAAGGUAAUAAAAAAAGCACACAUACACAUCUACAUGUAGACUCUUUCAGAAACUACUCCUGGGCCUUCCCUCUGCUCUUCUCUUUCUCCAAGGCUAUAGCAGGUUGAGGUCAUAAAGAGGCCUGAGAAGAGCGAGUGAUGCAGGGUCGAUAUUCAGGUCAGGUUGGAAGGGGUGCAGCCAGGUGUGCCCUGGCGUUCUAUGAGCUUCCGGGAUGUGAUACUUGCCAGGUCUCAUCAGUGAACACCAUAAAGCUUUUUAUUGAGAAGAAAAUUGUUGCUAACUACUAAAGUUACUUACAAAAUGUUUGUUGAAUAAGUGAGGGAGAGAGGGAGGAAAAGAAAAAGAGGAAGAACAGAGAAGAAAGUUGGUGGGGAGAGGCUAGUGGAAGCUCUGACAGCAUGUUUUGAACCCUCAGAAGACUGGGAAGGUUAAACUGUAUCGACAGGCAUCUUGCUUUCCCCAGCCUUGCUUACAGUGGAUGCUCAAUACAGACUUGAGUGAUUAAUACAGUGACGAGAAAAAUGGAACUGCAACCUUUUAAUUUCUUAAUUGGUGGCCAUAACGUGAUGGCUGACUGCCAAAAGGCUAAUGGUUGUCUGCAUUCGGGUGAUAUUUUUCUAAAGGCUGUCUCUCUGCCAUCUUCUCCUCAAGCCACUUGGACUCCCUCAUUACCGCCCCAUGGGGAUUCCUCCUCUCACUGUGUGUCAGCCUCAAAGAGAAAAUGAUUCAGCAGGGACUUGGGUUCCUGUACUGCUAGGUGCUUCUCCAUAUGGUCUAACGAUUCCUUGCCUCGGAGGAUCCACCUCAGACACGUCAGGACACCAGACACCAGAACCUGGGAGGUAUGGGUAUGUAGAUCUGAACUAGACAUUUUUCAGCAUUUCUCAGAGAGAGACAAUAUUUUGGCAGAACAUUUCUAGGGGAUGGGGAGUCUGAUGAUGGUGGGGUGCCAUGUGAAUCUUAGGAGUGGCACCCAUCAUGAGCUAGAGGAUUUUAGGUCUAACAGAUGUUGCUACCCCUGUUAGUUUCCUCAGGAUCUAAAACCUGUCAUUUGGAAAGUGGACUUAUGUGUGGUUGUGUUCUCUAAGACAAAGUUCUCUUCAUUCUCCUUUAGUUUUUAUAGGUGUUUUGAGAUUUCCACCUUUCUGAACUGUGCUGAGAAAGACAAAGGUUAACUCGCCUUGCCCAGCCCUCCUAUGUAGAAGAAAGAUCAGACAAAGCCUUCGGUCUGUUCCUUGCCAUUAUCCAGCCAGGCUGCCCUCCCAAUGGCUGCAUUGGCACGAGCGCCCAUGUCAGAGCUGUGAACAGUUUCCUUGUCGAGGCCAAGUGGGAUUACAGACUUGGAUUCCUGUCUGUGCCCUUAUUCUAAGAACCCAGGGUUUCUAGUGCAUUUCCACACAUGUGGUUAGGGAUGGGAAUAGGAACAUGCAUUUUAAAUGACAGAGAGAAACAGCAAGAAAGGUUUAAUAAAAUCAGGUAGAAAUCAAGAUUAUGGGGACUAUUCUGCUCACACAGUUAUUGUAACCGCUGAGCUAUCAUCAGGAAGAAGUUAGCUCACAAACCUAUUGUUUAGCUACUGGCGCAUUCCAGAAAGAGUGACUGUAAGUGUUGGUAGUACUUUAGGGUGAAUUAUCUUUUCCUUUGGUACUUUCUGCCUCCUUCCAUAGCAGACAUUCAUCUUCUGUACAUGUGGACAUAAUGAGCGCAGAAAAUGCUAAGCCUGGAGAGUGUGGGGUGGCUCUGGCAUGCAGUCCUGUUGGGACAAAUAUUGUAGAAAGUCCAGACUCCCCACUGGAAGUCAGUGUCAGAAGAGAGGCUCCAAUCCCACUAGAAAUAAAUCUUUUUCUUUGUGAUAAACCUAAAGAACAACACUCGCUACUUCCAGAAAAUCUUCCUUAGAGGUAUUCAGAGGAAUGAGAAAUACAGUGCUGUGGUGUACUAAAAUAUUGCCAUGAUGAAUACUAAACUUUUGAAUUUGAAAUAUUAUGAAAUUCAACAGACAUCAAAACUUUUGCAGAAAACCACAUGAUAUCUGUAGAGCUCCACAUGCACUAAAACAUUAUUUUUUCAGAUGAUAAUAUUCGAAAGCAACGAGAAUCUUAAAAACUCUCCAGGGAAACGGUCACAUUGGCUGCCCUUGCAAUGAAUUUGUCAACAUGUUUUAUUUGGCUUUAACAUUUUAAAUAUAAAUGUCUUCAGUUUUGCUAUCAAGUCCUGUUUCCUCACAACCCUGUCUGGUUUCACUCAUUUCCAGUUCCUUCUUGUCUCCUCCUGGAUGUUAUUAAUCUGAUGCUUGAUUGGUACUCAGUGUCUUUAUUUUAAAGGUGAAGGUCCAGAGAGGUGAAGUGAUUGAACUAAAGCCGCAGAGCCAAUUAAUGCCCAAGCAAAGAUGAACACGCCCUCCUCCACCGUGUGGAGGAACUCAUCCUCCUUUCACCGAAGGAUGCUCUCUCCUUAUUUUUUAAUCCUACCAACAAAGAACGGAGCUAUUCUGAUGUAUUUUUAAAUAGCAUGCUAUUUUAGACUGCUGUAGAAAUUCAUAAAUAUAUAAAAUGAUAUCUGCAGAAUGACAACCCUGGACCAAUAUCUAAACAAGAACCUUUAACUUCCGAUGACUCCCUCAUUUGGGUGGGUAGGGAUGGGGCAAAGGUGCAUGGCGAGGGUGCUUGGUGGCCCAUGGCAGUCCUCCUCACCUCCCUCUCUAAAGUUGCUCUGGGGUGAGCAGGUGUGGGGUCAGGUCUACUUCUGGGAACGCUUUUUGCUGUAGGCAGCCCUUUUGGAGAUAGAGGGAGGUUUUGAAAAGGAGAGGAAAGUUUUAUCCCUUCCAUCCUCUGAAAGUGCGCAUAUCCCUGGUGGGGAUAUCAGGGUUUUAUUCUGUAUAUAAAAACAAAUUUUGUAUCUGUUAUCACAUUUCUUUAAAAAGACUAGAUAGAUUUUCACUAAAGCCAGGGGACAGUUUGGGUUGGGCUGAUUUCAAAUAAUGCUGUGACACAUACAUGGGGGAUGUCAAAGAGAUUAACCCCUGAGAGGUGUGACUGGAGGAGCCCUUGGAUGGUUCCCACCCUCAGGGAUGAUGAGUGGCUGCAGGCUCCCACUGAGUAGCCCGUGAGUCCUACCUAGAAUCUGCUAAGGUCUGAAUCAGCAUCUGAAACUGGACCAAGACACCGAGGUUUUUAAGGACUUGCAGUGAAGCUGGAAGACCAUUGAUGAAGGGCUUAGCUGAAAAUGAGCUGACUGUGACAAUGGGACUUAGAAUGCACCCACGGGCUUGGGAGUCGUGUGCACUUGCUUGCAUUCCUGUGUGUGCACCCAUGUGUGUGUGCAUGUGUGGUGGGGUGCAGUGGCAGGAAGUAGUUCCUAGAAAAAAAAAAAACAUUGAACUUCGUUAAGGGCACAGCUCCAGUGGAGGCAAGGUCACAGCCCACUAACAGUAUUCAACCUGGUUGUUCCUGACUGUGCCACUUGGCCACCUGUUGCUUUCAGGUCACAAGCUUCCAAGCCCCAACCUAACCCACAGCAGACAGAUGCUUGUUUUAAUGUGGUUGUGCUGCUCCCAGGUAGGAGCUGGCAAUCUUUUGAAUAAAGCAGUGAGAAGGGCUCUGGCUUUCCCUGCAUUGUUUCCUGAAAACUUUUCCACUGAGAUUACACAAUAGAGGAAAGAAUAAUUGCGGCAAGAGAAAGUUUAAAUACUACUCAUAUUAUUUACGCAAACACAGAGUCUGCCAAAGAAGUACAGUGAAUGUCCACAAAACUUCCUCUCAAAGAUUUUUCCCUUGAAAUUAAAGAGAAUAAUUGAGGCAAAAAGUUAAUUUUCUUUUGAGUUACCUGGAAUAUUGCCUUGUUUUCUGCUUUUUUGUGCAGACAUAGAAUUAGGCCAGUCAAUCGUAGAGAAAAUGUGGAGAAAUACUCAUCUUUGAAUAAAAAGACUGGCUUUGAAAAUUAACCUAAAUUUGUUUUAUCUUACACUGUUCUAUGCAAACUACUGCCCUGCAAAUGAAAGUGUGACAGUGGUUAUUGUCAGACAUGGGAAAAUAUAUUCAAAGAGAUUUCCUGGUAGAUUUCAUGCUUUAUUUUAUACUGAAUACAAUUUAGCCCAUUACAAUAGUUGGAAAAUCCAAAGGUAAAUACAUGUAAAGUCUUUAAAGCAUGAUUUUAGUUUUUAAAGUACUGUUAAGCCUCACUAAUUUAUUUUAAAAAACAAACAAGGCUGGAAUGCCAAUAUUAACACCAACAUUUGCAUUCAGAAUCCAUUCUCCUUUGAAGAAAUCACCACACAAAUAUUUCCAGUUCCGCUUUACCUCCCUGUCCUAAAGUCAAUAUCCAGGAGUGAGAAAUGAAACAGAGGAUAGAGAUGCCGGCUCUAACUAUGACUGUGAAAUAGAUGGAACUUUUCUUCAGGUCCUUUCUUCUGGGCUGUUCUUUUUCUCUCCCAUCCCUUGGGGACUCUGGUGACAUUCCUCUCUUCCCUUUAGCCAGCUGAAGCUCUCAAAUUGAUCCCCAAUUACCCCAAGUUUUCCGUGACAUUGAUUUCAUCCUCUGCAAAAAAAAAAAAAAAAAAACCAAACAAAAAAAAAACACAAAAAAACCUUCCCCUUGCCCUCUGUCCCAACAAAAUGUUUGCAGGGCAUCUACCCAGUCCAGGUGAUAAAGAAGUGAAAAUAAGGCAGAGCUUUGCCACUGGGGCUCUUCCCCAGCCAAACAGCACACGCAUCUCAGAAGAGGCCUUGAGCCCCCAGAAAGAUUGAGUCGUGUAAAAAUGAGCAGCACUAUUAUCAGGGUCAGUGGUAAAACAUUUUGUGGAAGGGCAUGUUAUGAACUGAAUGUGUCCUUUUGAAAUUCCUGUGUUAAAACCCUAAUACCCCCAUGGUAUUAGGAGGUGGUCAGGACGUGAGGAAGGACCCCCAUGAAUGGGAUGACUCUCCUUAUAAAAAGAGACAGGAGGGAACCCACUUCCUCUCUCUCUGCUCUCCUCCAUGUGAGGAUAUAGUGAGAAGGCUGCCUGUAAACCAGAAAGUGGGCCCUCAGCAGACAGUGGGUUUUUCAAUACCAUGGACUGUCCAGUCUUGAGAACUGUGAGAAAUAAAUGUCUGUUGUUGAAGCCACCCAGUCCAUGGUGAUUUGUUGUAGCCGCCAGAACAGACUAAGAUUUAAGGCAGUUUUUUCACUGUUCCUUAGGUCAUACCUCCUGGAUGAUGGCUCAGCUUCCAGCUUUCCACCUAGACCUAGUGUAGGCAAGAUGGGCCCCAUCUACCUAAAAGCCUCCCAACUUGUUCUCCGUCCUCAUCACUUGCUUUUCCAGCCCACUUGUCCCACACAUUCUGGUGAAUGACCAUCUUUCUGCAGGUGAAUGACAGGCCAUUCUCCUCUCAAAGACCCUCACUGAUUUCCCAUCACCUAUCUAUGAAUUCCAGACUCCUUAUUCUGUCUCUCUAGAUGGCCUGUGGGCUGGGUCCAUCUGCUUCCCCAGCCUUCUGUUUGACUGCACCCUGGUACACAUCCUGUGCUCUCAUGACGCCACAUGACUUAUGAUUUCUCAAUCAAUUCCUCACUUUUCUACUUCAUGGUCAUGCCUUUCCUGGACUCUCUCUGCCUCCAUUCUCUGCUUGCAAACUGUCCAUUCAUGUGCUGCUUUCUCCAUGGGAAUGCAGCGUGAGCCCCGAUCCAAUCAACUUGAGCUCCCAGAGCAUGUGCCCCAUCUUCCUCAGUGGUUCUCAUGGGAAGAGGUGCUUGUCACAAUUAUUUGAGGAGUUUCCUCGAACAAUUCCUAACUUUCCUUUCCUUCUCCCAAAAUCACUUCAUAAAGCUCCUCAGUGAUUCGCUACCUCCCUGAGGUGGAAAGAUUGCACACUAUUGCUUUGAUUAUUCAAGAGGUCUCAUUACCUGAAUAUUCAUAAUCCCAGGCAUUAUAAUUAUAGCACUCCACAGAGAAGUAAAAUAUUAUCAAUAAAUUGACCACUUACACAAUUAGCUCCCUCAAUCAUGCCUCCCUGACUAAUACUAUCUUGGUAGUAUCUGCUGGAAAGCCUAGCUGAUUUUUGGAUGGCAUUUCAAUGCAAAGUGAUUACAAAAUGAAGAUGAAAAGAUGGAGAAUUUCAUGAAGUUGAUUAAACCGAUGCUGGUGAUGCUGGGGAACUCUAAAUCACAAGCAAGAAAAGUGAAAAUCAGUGUAUGAAGGCCAGAUAAUUGAAGAAAAAAUCUAAAAGUGAUAAUUAAUGUCAUGGUAGCUCCUCCUAGAGAGAAUGAUUUGAAGAGAAUUGAGUAAGAAAUGCUUAUGGAAUAGCUGGUGAAACUUGUGUGUGUGUUUAAAUAACUCUCUUUAUGAGCAUGCUGUGAAAGCCAAAGAGGAAGUGAAAGAUAUUUCGCCAUGCCAGUAUAUAAACUGUUGAUAAGAUGAUGCCCAUACCCUCCAUCAAUGUGUAAUUAUUUGUUCUAUGAAUCAGUGUACGGUGUAAGUCAAAACCAUGUCUUAUUAAAUAUAAUAAAACAAAUGUAUUUUCAUAAUGCUUAGUUUUAUUUUUCAAAAUAAAGAUAACUUUUUUAGCUCUAUGAGGUUUGGCUCUUAUGAGAGCUAUUGUAACUUGUUCUUCUUUGGCAUUAAUUUUCCUCAAAUACUAAGGACCUCCUCUAGUUAGUUACUCAGAUGACUACAUACCUAAUUAGGCAGUAAGCUCCUUGCAGACAUCAUUGAAUCAUCAAUGAAGAUGCCAAUCUUCAUUCUUAUAUCGAUAGCGCAUAACUAAUAUCCAAGAGAGACUGAAUGAAGGUGAGCUAGUUAAAAUUAAUAGUGAAUGUAAAAAUUGGUUUGGUUUUCUUUUGAGAAUUAGGUUUUCUUGGGCUUCAAAAAAGCAGUUGAG